rnacentral:rRNA from 1 species
AUUAGGAAUCUUGCACAAUGGGGGAAACCCUGAUGCAGCGACGUCGCGUGAGGGAUGACGGCCUUCGGGUUGUAAACCUCUUUAGUGGGGGAAGAAGAAUGUGACGGUACCCCAAAAAUAAGCCCCGGCUAACUACGUGCCAGCAGCCGCGGUAAUACGUAGGGGGCGAGCGUUGUCCGAAGUUACUGGGCGUAAAGCGCGUGUAGGCGGCUUUUUAAGUUUGGGGUGAAAGGUUCACGGCUCAACCGGAACAGUGCCUUGAAAACUGGAAGGCUUGAAUGUGGCAGGGGAAAGCGGAAUUCCAGGUGUAGCGGUGAAAUGCGUAGAUAUCUGGAGGAACACCGAUGGCGAAGGCAGCUUUCUGGGCUAACAUUGACGCUGAGACGCGAAAGCGUGGGGAGCGAACGGG